rnacentral:rRNA from 1 species
AAAAGUGAGAAUUUAAUUUUGGUUCAGAUUGAACGUUAUUCAGUAGUUUUAGACAUGCAAAUCAUUGUUUCCAAUUUUUUUAAAAAAGGAAAUAAGGUGUAGAGGUGAGUACAGGUAAAUAAGAUGCCCUUUAGUCCUCGUAAAUAGGGGAUAAGGUAAAGGAAAUUUAUCCGCUAAAGGAUUCUAUUUAUUUCGAUUAGGUAGUUGGUAGGGUAACGGCCUAACCAAGCCAACGAUCGAUAGCUAAGCUUGAGAGAGUCUAUGGCCACAUUGGGAAUGAAAUCUCCUAAGUAGUUUACAAAAACUACCAGCAGUCGAGAAUCUUAGUCAAUGCUCGAAAGAGUGAACUAGCUAACUGAAAUCAAACAUUUUUUUUAAAUGUAAAAAAUGAGAUGUCGUAGGGGAAAAUAAUGAUACUACCCUACUAAUAGUGUUGUCCAAAACUGGUGCCAGAAGACUCGGUCAGACCAGGAACGCAAACGUUAAUCGUAAUAAACAGGCGUAAAGGGUAAGUAGGCUGCUUCAAUUGAAUGCUAGAAUCAAAAAUAGGAUGUAUUAGAGAAUGCUUAGAGUAGGGUUUGAAUCCUCAGAUACUAAGUGGAAUUCUAAGGGCGUAAGCUUUUAUUCGCUAAUGAUUGACGCUGAGGAACGAAGGGUUGGAUAGGAAACAGGAUUAGAUACCCCAGUACCCCUUCUCCGCGAACGAUGAAUGGUCGUCACUAAUAAAAUUCUUUUUUAGUGACAAUGCUAACGCGAUUACCAUUCCGCCUUGUAACUACGACUGCAAAGUUGAAAACAAAAAAAUUAGUCGGUCUCGAAGCAAACGAAGUGGAGCAUGUUAUUUAAUACGAUAAUACGCGUAAAACCUUACCAGUUCUUGCAUAAAACUUUAGAUUUUAUUUUUAUUUUCGGGUUUCUGCAAAGGUAUCCUUAAAUAGAGGUAAAAUUAAGAGGAGAGUAGAUAAUACUUGAUUACAGGUGUUGCAUGGCUGUCGCAAGUCCGUGUUGUCAGAAGUCUGGUUUAUUCCGAUAACGGACGAAAUCCCUGUUGUUAAUUUAUACUUAACAAAUAUAGUUCCCGAUAAGGGAGCCGGUGGGGCUAAGACAAGUCGUUAUGACCCUUAUGUACUGGGCUAUAGACGUGCCACAAUAACUUUUACAAAGUGAUGCAAUACCUCGCCUGUAUUAAUUCAAGCAAAGCUAGCCCUACCCACCUCUACCCUAGCCACACCUAGCUACGCCGAUAGGCAGGCUUUGCCUCGUCUUGGCGCGAGCAAGGGAGGCUGGGCUGGGGAGGGCAGGAGGGCUCCGGUAGGAGAUUUAUUUUUUG